rnacentral:rRNA from 1 species
CCUUAGCGCGGUGGUCCCACCUGACCCCAUGCCGAACUCAGAAGUGAAACGCCGUAGCGCCGAUGGUAGUGUGGGGUUUCCCCAUGCGAGAGUAGGGAACUGCCAGGC